GACGAACGCUGGCGGCGUGCCUAAUACAUGCAAGUUGAGCGAUGAAGAUUGGUGCUUGCACCAAUUUGAAGAGCAGCGCACGGGUGAGUAACGCGUGGGGAAUCUGCCUUUGAGCGGGGGACAACAUUUGGAAACGAAUGCUAAUACCGCAUAAUAACUUUAAACAUAAGUUUUAAGUUUGAAAGAUGCAAUUGCAUCACUCAAAGAUGAUCCCGCGUUGUAUUAGCUAGUUGGUGAGGUAAAGGCUCACCAAGGCGAUGAUACAUAGCCGACCUGAGAGGGUGAGCGGCCACAUUGGGACUGAGACACGGCCCAAACUCCUACGGGAGGCAGCAGUAGGGAAUCUUCGGCAAUGGACGAAAGUCUGACCGAGCAACGCCGCGUGAGUGAAGAAGGUUUUCGGAUCGUAAAACUCUGUUGGUAGAGAAGAACGUUGGUGAGAGUGGAAAGCUCAUCAAGUGACGGUAACUACCCAGAAAGGGACGGCUAACUACGUG
rnacentral:rRNA from 1 species